GGGAAGACAAGGUCUCUCCAUUUUUCUUGCUCCAUGGUGGCAGAACUAUAAGGGAGUGAGUCAAAGCGUUUGGAUUUUUUAUUAACAAGGAGUGGAAGGGCUUUCCCAGGAUCUGAGGGAGUGAACUGAAUUUCCCAGGUUGCAGGGAUGAAGCAUCUCCUGCAGUGGAGCCACAGGAUUUAGACAACAUCAAAUAAUGAGACCUCCCAGUCAGAUACUGUUGGAAAAUGCUAUAAAUUUAAAUUAAAAAAAAAUUCCUAUAGGAAUUUCAGCUGUGGCACAGUGGGUUAAGAACCCUAAGCAAUGGCUUGGUCAUUGCAGAGGUGCAGGUUCGAUCCCUAGCCUGGCACAGUGGGUUAAAUGAUCUGGCAUUGCCACAGCUGUGGGGUAGUCUGCAGCUGUGGCUCAGAUUCAGUCCCUGGCGAGAGAACUUCCACAUGCCUUGGGUGUGGCCAUAAGAAAAAAAAUUCAUACAGACCUCUCAGAACAUUUGUACUUUAGUGGGCAGGGUUACAGGGAAUGGAUGCAGAAAAAUAGGGACAAUUCAAACAGGAAGUAUUGCUCUUUCUCGAGGAAGGGGCAGGGCCAGAGAGCCCCUUCCCUGUUUCCUCGCUGGGAUAGUGUCCUGCCUGUGCUCUGUCUGGCUGGACCAGUCACCAGGCCCUGCUCUAUGUCCUUCACGCCCACUUUUGCUUUUCUGUCUCAACAUGCCCCCAUCCCUACUUCUGAAACAUACACCCUCCUGGCUACCCAGUUCUACCAGAAGUCUUACCCCAUUCCCAGGGGCCAAGUCAAGGCUCUACUCUCCCUUCUGGUCCUGUCCUGGCACGUUUUGCCAACAUCCUCCUGCCCCCUUCUCUUAUCUCCUUCUCCUUCCUCUGGGCUGGGGAAGAAGCCACAAGAGAGGAAAAAACAGCCACAUACACAGAGGACACGGUCUCCAGGCUCUGGUCUCCCCAAUGGCCAUGUCUUUUUACAAGGCCUUCAUAAGGAAAUGACAACAGAGAUGGAAAUCACUCUUAGAGGCCGGGGGACUUCUGCCUUUGAGCCUCUGCAGUGAGUAUGCCCAGAAAGGCAGAUAAUAGAGCUUUUCAGCUGCUGCCAGGGCAAGCUGAGAGCAAAACGGGUCCUGUUUGCCCCAAAUGGUUCCAGUGAGGGGGCCUCACUCAGCCCCUUACAUGUGUGCAGGCAGCUAACAGCCAAGAAACAACUUAGUUCCCAGCGGAGCCUCUGAUCCCCAAGGUUGACAAGCAGCAACACAAAACCAUUCUCUACCCUUUUCUUCCAGGGUUUGACUUGAUAAGAAGUGGCCGUUCCCUAGGAGAGGAAGGGCUCUGAACCCAAAGGCAUCAACUCCCUGUUCUGCUGUGGCUGCUGGAGCAGGACAGACCCUCCUGGCACUCCCCCUGCCUCUGUGGCUUCUUCCCACAGCCCUGCUUCUCCCUCACUGUAAAGGUCACCGUUCCCGUAGGCGGCUUCUGUGCUCUUUCUGAUUCUAUACACAGCCCCUGAGUCAUCUCGGCCUCCUGGGCUUCCAGUGCUGCCUGUGUGUUCAGCACCACCAAAUAGCCAUCACCCGCCUUGCUCUGCAGACUCAAGGCCUCAUGCUACUGGACCCGCUGCUUAUCUCAUCCAUGCUCUGAAGCCAGGUUCCAAAUCAAACUGGGAAUCUCUCUCUGCCCCCUCCUGAACUCCCUAUUCACCAGUCAUCACACCAUCACCCAACCGGUGAGGACUGAAACACUGAGUCCCCCUGGACUUCUUCUCUCACUCAUCUCAUAUCCUAGUAGGCUCCAAGUGCUGAAGAUUAUACCUCUGAACACUCCAGGUGAACCCUCUCCUCCAUCCCAUUGCCACCAAUCCUGCUAUAUCUUCUUGUUACUGGCAUAUAUAAUUCCUGCAUCUUCUCAACUAUUUUGCAGGCCUCCAGCCCUAGUCUGCUGCUCUGUUACCAGACAGAUUUUUCUACACCAUAAAUUAGGCAGUUUAUCACAUCGUCCCCUCCAAUCAAAAAUCUGUGAAAUCUCUGUGUAGGCUGAAUAAGAACCCCGUGAUGUAUAUGUCCUAAUUUCCAGAACCUGGGAAUAUUAUCUUUUAUGGCAAAAGGGACUGUGCUGAUGUGAUUAAUUCAGGAUAUUGAGAUGGGGAGAGGAGCCUGGAUUAUCCUGGUGGGCUUCAUGUAACCCCCAGAGCACUUAUCAAAGAAGUGAAGGAGGAGUCAGAGUUAGAAGAAAACCACAUGAUGCUGGAGGCAGAGAAUGAAGUUAUACAUUUAAAGAUGGAGCAGACUCUAAGCCACGGAUUCCAAGCAGCUACUAGAAGCUGAAAGAGGCAAUGAAACAGAACCUCCCCUCAGCGCCUCCAGAAAAAACCACCCUGGGGGACACCUUGACUUGGGCACACUGAAUCUGACUUUGGGCUUUUGUCCUCCAUAGUGGUAAGAGAAUAAAUUAAGCUCCUACAUGUGUGGUAAUUUAUUACAGCAGCCAUGGUAACUGAUACACUCUCGAUAAAAUUUCCAACAGAAUCCAAAUGCUCCAGUAUGAUACAAAGUCCUACUGUCUGAUCUGA
ensembl:lncRNA